CAGUCGCCGCGGUAAUACGUAGGGUGCAAGCGUUAAUCGGAAUUACUGGGCGUAAAGCGUGCGCAGGCGGUUAUAUAAGACAGAUGUGAAAUCCCCGGGCUCAACCUGGGAACUGCAUUUGUGACUGUAUAGCUAGAGUACGACAGAGGGGGAUGGAAUUCCGCGUGUAGCAGUGAAAUGCGUAGAUAUGCGGAGGAACACCGAUGGCGAAGGCAAUCCCCUGGGCCUGUACUGACGCUCAUGCACGAAAGCGUGGGGAGCAAACAGGAUUAGAUACCCCCGUAGUCCCUGUCUCUUAUAC
rnacentral:rRNA from 1 species